rnacentral:rRNA from 1 species
UACAGAGGGUGCGAGCGUUAAUCGGAAUUACUGGGCGUAAAGCGUACGUAGACGGUCAUGUAAGUCGGGUGUGAAAGCCCCGGGCUCAACCUGGGAAUUGCAUUCGAGACUGUGUGGCUGGAGUGCGGCAGAGGGGGAUGGAAUUCCGCGUGUAGCAGUGAAAUGCGUAGAUAUGCGGAGGAACACCGAUGGCGAAGGCAGUCCCCUGGGCCUGCACUGACGCUCAUGCACGAAAGCGUGGGGAGCAAACAGG